UCAGGAUGAACGCUGGCGGCGUGCUUAACACAUGCAAGUCGAACGCUGAAGCUCCAGCUUGCUGGGGGUGGAUGAGUGGCGAACGGGUGAGUAUCACGUGAGUAACCUGCCCUUGACUCUGGGAUAAGCCCGGGAAACUGGGUCUAAUACUGGAUAGGACUGGCCAUCGCAUGGUGGUUGGUUGAAAGCUUUUGCGGUUUUGGAUGGACUCGCGGCCUAUCAGCUUGUUGGUGGGGUAAUGGCCUACCAAGGCUUUGACGGGUAGCCGGCCUGAGAGGGUGACCGGCCACACUGGGACUGAGACACGGCCCAGACUCCUACGGGAGGCAGCAGUGGGGGAUAUUGCACAAUGGGCGCAAGCCUGAAUGCAGCGACGCCGCGUGAGGGAUGACGGCCUUCGGGUUGUAAACCUCUUUCAGUUGGGAAGAAGCCUUUCGGGGUGACGGUACCUUCAGAAGAAGCACCGGCUAACUACGUGCCAGCAGCCGC
rnacentral:rRNA from 1 species